AAUGCGGGACGUCUGCGCCGCACAUGUCUCAGGAGGACAUCGCCACUAUUAGCAAGCUACUUCAGGGUAUCUCGGUCAGCAUUUCGUUUGGCAAGAUGUCCGCUUCAGGUACACGCCGCUCACGCGAUGAAGGCGUCAUCGCAUGAGCGGCGCGUACCCGGAGUGGACGUCUUGCCAAUCGAGAUGCUGACCGAGAUACCCUCCAGCAGCUUGCUACUACGGACGAUCUCUUCCUGAGACAUGUGCGGUGCAGACGUCUCGUAUU
rfam:Chlamydomonas reinhardtii strain CC-503 cw92 mt+ CHLREscaffold_6 genomic scaffold, whole genome shotgun sequence.